rnacentral:tRNA from 1 species
GCGUCUGUGGGUGAUAUCCCCGUCCGACUACCUUCUAAGCAGUCGGUCCGGGGUUCGAAUCCCUGCAGGCGCGCCA